UUCAUGGAGAGUUUGAUCCUGGCUCAGGACGAACGCUGGCGGCGUGCCUAAUACAUGCAAGUCGAGCGGACCGACGGGAGCUUGCUCCCUUAGGUCAGCGGCGGACGGGUGAGUAACACGUGGGUAACCUGCCUGUAAGACUGGGAUAACUCCGGGAAACCGGGGCUAAUACCGGAUGCUUGAUUGAACCGCAUGGUUCAAUCAUAAAAGGUGGCUUUAGCUACCACUUACAGAUGGACCCGCGGCGCAUUAGCUAGUUGGUGAGGUAACGGCUCACCAAGGCGACGAUGCGUAGCCGACCUGAGAGGGUGAUCGGCCACACUGGGACUGAGACACGGCCCAGACUCCUACGGGAGGCAGC
rnacentral:rRNA from 1 species